rnacentral:rRNA from 1 species
UCCAGACUCCUACGGGAGGCAGCAGUGGGGAAUAUUGCACAAUGGGGGAAACCCUGAUGCAGCGACGCCGCGUGAGCGAUGAAGUAUUUCGGUAUGUAAAGCUCUAUCAGCAGGGAGGAAGAUGACGGUACCUGACUAAGAAGCCCCGGCUAACUACGUGCCAGCAGCCGCGGUAAUACGUAGGGGGCAAGCGUUAUCCGGAUUUACUGGGUGUAAAGGGAGCGUAGACGGCGAUGCAAGCCAGAUGUGAAAGCCCGGGGCCCAACCCCGGGACUGCUCUUGGAACUGCGCGGCUGGAGUGCAGGAGGGGCAGGCGGAAUUCCUGGUGUAGCGGUGAAAUGCGUAGAUAUCAGGAGGAACACCGGUGGCGAAGGCGGCCUGCUGGACUGCGACUGACGUUGAGGCCCGAAAGCGUGGGGAGCAAACAGGAUUAGAUACCCGAGUAGC